AGUAAACGCUCCGCGCACAGCGGUCCUUCCGGUACCCCCUGGCCGUGUCUGCCUCUACCUACUCCGAGCCCGAAUGCAACCAUCAGAGCGUGAGGGGAGUGGGCCAGAGGUGAGCCCCAACAUGAUGCCUGAGACUCUCCCAGAGUCUCCACAUCCCCCUACCAAGACCCCAGCAUUUGAUCUCUUCAACUUGGUUCUUUCCUACAAGAGGCUGGAGAUCUACCUGGAACCCCUGAAGGAUGCAGGUGAUGGUGUACGAUACUUGCUCAGGUGGCAGACGCCUUUGUGUUCCUUGCUGACCUGCCUGGGCCUCAACAUCUUGUUCCUCACUUUGAAUGAGGGUGCAUGGUACUCGGUGGGUGCCCUGGUGAUUUCAGUGCCUGCCCUGCUGGGCUACCUGCAGGAGGUUUGCCGGGCACAGCUGCCUGAAUCAGAGCUGAUGCGGAGGAAGUACCACAGCAUAAGGCAGGAAGACCUACAGAGAGUUCGGCUUUCUCGACCUGAGGCUGUGGCUGAGGUGAAGAGCUUCUUGAUCCAGCUGGAGGCCUUCUUGACACGCCUGUGCUGCACCUGUGAGGCUGCCUACCGUGUACUACACUGGGAGAACCCUGCAGUGUCUUCACAGUUCUAUGGGGCUCUUCUGGGCACAGUUUGCAUGCUGUAUCUGCUGCCACUGUGCUGGGUCCUCGCCCUCUUAAACAGCACACUCUUUCUGGGGAACGUGGAGUUCUUCCGAGUGGUGUCUGAGUACAGAGCAUCUCUACAGCGGCGGAUAAGCCCCAAGCAGGAAGAGGGAGCUUUUGAAAGUCCACCACCACUUGACAAUGGGGGAAAGGGUACUCUGCUGGACAGCACACCUGCCCCCACACCCACAGAGGACCUCACGCCAGGCAGUGUGGAGGAGGCUGAAGAGGCUGAACCAGAUGAGGAGUUCAAAGAUGCAAUAGAGGAGGAUGACGAGGGCGUCCCGUGCCCAGCAGAGGAUGAGCUGGCUCUGCAGGACAAUGGGUUCCUGAGCAAGAAUGAGGUGCUGCGCAGCAAGGUGUCACGGCUCACAGAGCGGCUCCGCAAGCGUUAUCCUACCAACAACUUUGGUAUGGCCAGGGAAGUGGAGCAGAGGUGGAACGGGGUAUCCAGGAGGAACCAGUGGGACUAGGGUGACACUUUGGCCACAGAGACAGAGUCCUGGAAUUAUGUGUACUGAUUGUGACUAGAGCAAGGAGUAAAGAUGUCUGUGGGCCAGCAGGAGGUUAGCAUAUAUUCAGCAGAACGUAUGUCCCCUUUUAAACAUUAGUUUACAGGAAGUUCCCAGUGUAGGAACAGCCACACCAGAACUGCAGAGAGCUCUAAUCCUGAGGAAGCGGAACCUCGGAGGCAGUGCAGCAAGCUAAGAACUGCUGUAAAUCCUAACUCAGCUGGGUGUCCUGGCCCCCAUGCCUCACUUUCCACUUCUGGAACUGGGUAUAGUAGUUCUUAUAGGGUUGUUUUCUAUGUCUCAGAUGUGAUAGUACUUGUUAAGAGCCAGCGCAGAGCCUGGCUGGUUUAUAGAAAGUGCUUAGUAAACGGGUACUGUUAAUUCAAGAGGCUCUGGCCCAUCCUGAGGUUCCUGGGGCCUGCCUUGGUCUUUCUGAUCCAGCUAGAAGCAAGUUCGAAUCAAAAAUAUUUUCCUCUGGACAUGGUAAAGCUCUGGGGUCACUUCUCCCAGCCAAGUCCCAGCCUUCAUAGUAAAGGAGGGAACUUGGAGAAAGGUGGACUUGAUUAUAAGCACACCUUGGAAGCCUGGCUCAGAUCUGGAGCCCUGGGAGCAGAGCCAGUAAAAAUCUAGGUGGAAACCUAGAGUAGCUGAUGACCUGAGAGCUGUGUGUUCUGGUGUGCAGUAAAUUCUAGGUCUGUGCCAGAGAAGCCCAUGGAGUUGCUCUUGAGUGUCUGCCUCUCUGCCCUGACAGCGGUUGUUUUCUCAGAAUUAGAGGUCAUGGACCUGUCAUUCCCUUCUGACAUUCAAGAUUCUUUCUAUUUGUGCUGACCACAGACUUCUGAAGAACACUGUGAGCUCUGUGCACUUUGCUAUACAAAGUCUCAGUUAGUCCUUGAGGUAGAGGUGGUCAGGCAGGCAGUUCUUAUGGGUCCAAAAGCUUCCAUGUUCCAGAAGUCCCAAGUAACACUCCAGAGAACUACUACUCCUGGUCCAGCAGACUAUCUGUUUACAUUUCUGCAUUUUAAGUAAAGAUACUACAUACAUGUUCCCAUUUUGAAGAUGAGUAAACUGAGGUGAAAAGAGACUUUAGCUUGUGAAUGCUAAAUCUGAGCCUCAAAUCUAGGUCAACUGAUUUGGCCCUUGUGUCCUUUCUGUCUCAUCUAUCUCUCUCUGAUUUUCCUUUGUUCUGGUGUCAGAAGUCUCUAGUUUUAUUUCUGCCUCAUUUUUAAAUUUGGCUUUUGGUCUAGAUAUUCCUUGCCAGGAGGGAAAAAGGCCUUGCAGGUACCCUUGAGGAUGGUAAAGGCAGGACAUGAUUUUUUCCCUAAGCCCUUCCUUCCUCUUCAUCCUUCUGGACUGCUCAUUUCCCCUGCUGAGAUGUCCUCGAGCUCUUUGAUGUGAGGGCAGGUGUAGUAGCUCUGCUUCCAAGGUGUUGCCCCCUGGUCUGGGUCCCCAGGUCAGGGUGAGGUGGGCUGCUUUGGAGGUUAUCUUACUCCCUCUGUGCUGUUGUAUGAAAAUACUCUAAACUGGGUGGCUUAUAAGUAACAGAAAAAUUUUCCCACUGUUCCAGAGACUUUGAGUCCAAGAUCAAGGAGUCAGCCCAAUCGAGUUAUGGGGAUGGAUUGGUUCAUAGAGGGUACCUUCUUGUUACCUCCUCACAAGGGACAUGACUGUUGCCCUGGCAGGCCCAUGUGGCCUUAGGCUCUCUCUGCUCUAUAGGUGUUCUAGGGUAGAUGUUGGAAGGAACAGGGCUACUCCCCUCAAUCACCUGUGUGAGCUGUUAUCAGCUUUGAGAGUGCUCCUUGGCCCGAGGCCCGUGUGGGUACACAGCUGUUGCACUGGACUGUGGGACUGCCAUUGAGUGCUUGGUCCUGGCUUUCUUUACAGUUCAGAAGAAUUCCUGGAUACAGGCCUGAGUGCCAGUACUGGAGUAGUUCCUUUCCCUGUCCCAUUGCUCUGACUCCUUGCUACAGGAGUCGGGGGCAGGUGGACUUCACCCAGUUCUUAGGGGAGCAGCAGUGUCCUUUAUCACCGUUAGGCGUUCGCUGUGUUAUUUUCCUUCCUUCUGCUUGAGCUACGAGCUGACCAAAGUAGUGGGCAUUACCUCCCAUACCUUGGCCUCAGUCCUCCUGGCUCUGGCCAGUCUUCUGUUUCUUGAUCUCUGAGGAAACCUCCUUUAGCAAGAGCUCUAAGUGCUCCCAGCUGGACAGAAGAAGGAAGUGCAUGGAGCUACCAGUACAGCGUUGAUUCAUUAUGUGAAGCCAUUUUUCUAAGCUGCCAUCAUCUGAAGCUUUGGCAUCUUGUCAUCGUUGGUGGUUUAGGAAGGAUCCCUGGCUUGCCCACCACUCAUGGUACUUGAGCAUCCUGCCCUCCAAGAACUUCCUGGCAGCAGAGAGCAGGAGUGUACAUUUUCAGGAGGCAUUUCCAUUCCUGCCCUAUGGGCAGAGUAUCUGUAAGGGAACACUGGAAGGGGUCAUGCCACUGAGGGUGUGUGGGUUAGGUCCCUUCCAGCUUGGCUGGAUUCUAGGGAGGAGAUUCUCAGGAUGUUCUUUGAUUUCUACUGAACCUGCAUGUGGGCUGUUUAGCUCUGGAAGGGCGCAUGCAGGACUAGAGCCACAGGUGGCCUGGAGACAGUGGCUUCUGGGGGCUGUUUGGCUUUUCUCCAGUUCUGAAUCUGGACCUUUCUCACUGAGCCCAGCCAAAUAACUGGUUUGGGCUGGUGUUCUGAGUGCCCCAUUUAGAAGAGCCAGGAGCAGGGAGAGUAAAGUAGCUGGGGCUUGGUCAAGGCUGAGUUGCUGCUGCCUCUGUUUCUCAGGGAACUGUACCGGCUGCUCUGCUACCUUCUCGGUGCUGAAGAAGAGGGUAAGUUUCUGAGGCUGUUUGCUGGGGACACUGUGUGGGUUGUGCAGGAGUUGAAGGGAGUCAUGGAUGAAGUCUGAUUCCUCAGGUCACAGUUUGCAGGCAAACUCCCAUGGUUUUGCCUUUACCAGUUUUCCCAUGGGCUGUACCAUCCGGUUGAUUUCCUGCCCACCUGGUGCCUCCCCAGUUCCAGUCUCCAUGGGUAGGAUUGGCCAGUGAAAGGGAGGGAGGUACUUGGGGGUUCCCGCUGUCUGAAGGUGGUGGCUCAG